rnacentral:rRNA from 1 species
GAGUUUGAUCCUGGCUCAGAUUGAACGCUGGCGGCAGGCCUAACACAUGCAAGUCGAGCGGUAACAGAUCCAGCUUGCUGGAUGCUGACGAGCGGCGGACGGGUGAGUAAUGCAUAGGAAUCUGCCCGAUAGUGGGGGAUAACCUGGGGAAACCCAGGCUAAUACCGCAUACGUCCUACGGGAGAAAGGGGGCUCCGGCUCCCGCUAUCGGAUGAGCCUAUGUCGGAUUAGCUGGUUGGUGAGGUAACGGCUCACCAAGGCGACGAUCCGUAGCUGGUCUGAGAGGAUGAUCAGCCACAUCGGGACUGAGACACGGCCCGAACUCCUACGGGAGGCAGCAGUAGGGAAUCUUCCACAAUGGGCGAAAGCCUGAUGGAGCAAUACCGCGUGAGUGAAGAAGGUCUUCGGAUCGUAAAGCUCUGUUGUUAGAGAAGAACAAGAGGUGUAGUAACUGGCACCUCCUUGACGGUAUCUAACCAGAAAGUCACGGCUAACUACGUGCCAGCAGCCGCGGUAAUACGUAGGGUGCGAGCGUUGUCCGGAAUUACUGGGCGUAAAGAGCUCGUAGGUGGUUUGUCGCGUCGUCUGUGAAAUCCCGGGGCUUAACCUCGGGCGUGCAGGCGAUACGGGCAUAACUUGAGUGCUGUAGGGGAGACUGGAAUUCCUGGUGUAGCGGUGAAAUGCGCAGAUAUCAGGAGGAACACCAAUGGCGAAGGCAGGUCUCUGGGCAGUAACUGACGCUGAGGAGCGAAAGCAUGGGUAGCGAACAGGAUUAGAUACCCUGGUAGUCCAUGCCGUAAACGGUGGGCGCUAGGUGUAGGGGACUUCCACGUCUUCUGUGCCGCAGCUAACGCAUUAAGCGCCCCGCCUGGGGAGUA